rnacentral:rRNA from 1 species
CAACGCUGGCGGCGUGCCUCAGACAUGCAAGUCGAACGCGAAAGUUUCCUUCGGGAGACAAGUAGAGUGGCGCACGGGUGAGUAACACGUAGGUAAUCUACCUUUGGAUGGGGAAUAACAACCGGAAACGGUUGCUAAUACCGCAUAAUGCAGCGGCACCUAAUGGUGACAGUUGUUAAAGCGGGGGAUCGAAAGACCUCGCGUCUAAAGAGGAGCCUGCGGCGGAUUAGCUAGUUGGUAAGGUAAUGGCUUACCAAGGCUACGAUCCGUAACCGGCCUGAGAGGGCGGUCGGUCACACUGACACUGACAUACGGGUCAGACUCCUACGGGAGGCAGCAGUCGGGAAUUUUGGGCAAUGGGCGAAAGCCUGACCCAGCAACGCCGCGUGAAGGAUGAAAUCCCUCGGGAUGUAAACUUCGCAAGAAUGAGAAGAAUAAGUAGGGGACAAUACCCCCUAUGAUGACGGUAUCAUUUGUAAGCUCCGGCUAACUCCGUGCCAGCAGCCGCGGUAAUACGGGGGGAGCAAGCGUUGUUCGGAUUUACUGGGCGUAAAGGGCGCGUAGGCGGUCAGCACAAGUCAGUUGUGAAAUCUCCGAGCUUAACUCGGAAAGGUCAACUGAUACUGUGCGACUAGAGUGCAGAAGGGGCAACUGGAAUUCUUGGUGUAGCGGUGAAAUGCGUAGAUAUCAAGAGGAACACCUGCGGCGAAGGCGGGUUGCUGGGCUGACACUGACGCUGAAGCGCGAAAGCCAG